GGCAGAACGUGUAGCCAAGGGACAAGAGUCCAUUCUGCAAAGUAAACUGAUGUUUCUUGGACAGAACCUGAAGCUGUGCCUACUCCGGGACCAGGAGUGGAUAUGGCUUGGCUGCUCCCCAGGUGCGGACCGCCCGGAGUCCUAAGGGCCGCCGCCGCCGCAGUUUGUGACUGAGUCGUGGAGACUGACAGCCGUUCAUAUGGACAGUACUCCAAGGCCAUCCUCACCACCAAUUUAACGUCUUCCAAGGAGGCCUAUGGCACAUUUGAGACUUGUUGUCUACCGUUAUCUCCUGAGCUUCCUCGGAUCUUCCUCCCUCGCGUUCUUCCAGCCCAGCUCCCGAUGCUCACUCUCCUCCAGGACUUCUCCAGGACCUUCCGUAAAGUCGAUUAACAGAGUUGGUCGUGGUGAGAAGACAUGGUGGCAAGUGGCCUGGACAGUGGCCGGGACAGAGGGCCAAGAGGUCUUUACCCACCAACAGGAAGCAGAGAGAGGGAGCUAGAACAGAGCGAGCCUAUAAACUCUGAAAGCCCACCCUCAGCGACAGACCUGCUCCAGCCGGCCUGCAUGGCCUUCCCAAGUAGCACCACCGCUGUGGACCGAGGAGUCAAAUGUCUGAGCCUAUUCUCAUUCAAACCACCACAAGGCUGGGCAUUUAGUCCACUGGAUUUACAAACCACACCCCUUUUCGCCACCCAUCGAUGGACGGGCACUUGAAAUAGUGUGAAUAGUGCUGCAAAGAUCACGGGUGUAGUCAUUUGUUUGAGGCUGUU